CGACGAAUCUUCCGCAAUGCGCGAAAGCGUGACGGAGCAAUGCCGCGUGUGGGAUGAAGGCGCUCUGCGUCGUAAACCACUGUCAGGACCUAGAACCAACGAUCAGGUCCAGAGGAAGGGCCGGCUAAACUCGUGCCAGCAGCCGCGGUAAUACGAGUGGCCCAAGCGUUAAUCGGAAUCACUGGGCUUAAAGCGUGCGCAGGCGGACCUUCAGGCGUCCCGUGAAAUGCCCCGGCUCAACCGGGGAAUUGCUGGGCGAACCGUUGGUCUUGAGGCAGGUAGGGGGGUGCAGAACUGUCGGUGGAGCGGUGAAAUGUGUAGAUAUCGACAGGAAUGCCGAAGGGGAAGCCGGCACCCUGGGCCUGUCCUGACGCUCAUGCACGAAAGCGUGGGGAGCAAACAGGAUUAGAUACCCGCGUAGUCC
rnacentral:rRNA from 1 species